CUCACCUUGCUGGGUACACACAGAACCCACAAACUUGUCCUCUGGGCACUCCGUCUGUGGGUCCUCCUGAAUGAUUGCAGAGAUUCUCCACUCCCUGAUAGUCCUGCUUACACCUAAGGCCCCUACACCGCAGCUGGUCUCAGUUUGGAGUUUGUCAGCAACUCCACACUCACAAUCCCACACAGAGCAAGUUUGAGAACAUCCAGAUGCAUUACUCAAGGACACAGAUCCCAUUCCAGAUCAGGCCACUGGAAAUGAAAACUGGUUACCGAAGUAUAAGCAAGAAUUGUCCAGCUAAUGAAAAUGCAUCCAGUUACCAGGGAUGGUGUACACUUGUGGGUCACAGUAAUUUUGUUUAAAUAUUAUGCAAAAGUGGAAAUUAUAUCUAUUUCAUAUGAAAGACUUCUAAUGAGAAUUGAUAGCAGGGCACAGUUAUUUUCUUGUUAUGCAAAAUUCUGAAAUAAUAAAGAUUAGUUAAAAUCUA